UUGAAUUGAAGAGUUUGAUCAUGGCUCAGAUUGAACGCUGGCGGCAGGCUUAACACAUGCAAGUCGAACGGUAGCAGGAGAAAGCUUGCUUUCUUGCUGACGAGUGGCGGACGGGUGAGUAAUGCUUGGGAAUCUGGCUUAUGGAGGGGGAUAACGACGGGAAACUGUCGCUAAUACCGCGUAGUGUCGAGAGACGAAAGUGCGGGACUGAGAGGCCGCAUGCCAUAGGAUGAGCCCAAGUGGGAUUAGGUAGUUGGUGGGGUAAAGGCCUACCAAGCCUGCGAUCUCUAGCUGGUCUGAGAGGAUGACCAGCCACACUGGA
rnacentral:rRNA from 1 species